CCCCGCCACACGAACAAAACCCCGGCGCGAGACGCGCCAAGGAAUAGAAAACGAAGAGAUAGGGAACGGGUGGCCCGUCGAGUGCCGGAGACGGAUCUCUCGCGGGCGACCCCUUCUCGUUUGGAAACAAAACGACUCUCGGCAACGGAUAUCUCGGCUCUCGCAUCGAUGAAGAACGUAGCGAAAUGCGAUACUUGGUGUGAAUUGCAGAAUCCCGUGAACCAUCGAGUCUUUGAACGCAAGUUGCGCCCGAAGCCUUCGGGCCGAGGGCACGCCUGCCUGGGUGUCAUGCGUCGUCGCCCCCCGACCAUCGGGACGGGCGGAGAUUGGUCUCCCGUGCGCUCCCGCUCGCGGUUGGCCGAAAUACGAGUUGUUGGCGGCCGAUAGCGCCCCG
rnacentral:rRNA from 1 species